UGUUAGCUAUGGAGCUAGAAACAAAACUAUAGCAGUUAUGGUGAAAAGAAGAUGGAAAAGCUCCUGAUGAAGAGAAAAUAAAGAUGGAUGAGUAUUAUCUCAAAAGGUUGACCUAUGGACCCUGCCAAAAAAAAUUUUCCAUGUGAACUUGAGUUUGCAAGGCCCUUUUUUUCAGUCCCGAAAACUCUGCGUUCUGAAAAAGGACAUCUGUGAUAAGAUGGAACUUGGCACCAGUAACUCAUGUACUAUGGGUGAAGCAUGCUCAGAAGAGGCAGACCCAGAGGUAGUCCUGAAUCUUGUAAAUGGCUCUGGGUGAAUCCGAAGAACUGCAUGUAAUUUGGCAGGCGUUUUUAAGAUAAAUGGUAAAACUGAACUGGAAAUCCAUCUGGCCAGCUGCCUGAUCUAAUGAAUAACCCCACUUUGGCUCCUGCAAUGUAAGCAGAAAGAGUUCUCUCCCGGCCGCUUUCGUCUGUCAUGAAUCUACAAGACAGCCGACAUAAUAUCUGGGCGACAACAGCGUGCUAACAGUGCAGUGACUUCCAUUUUCUUUGCUUUCUAUUGAUUUUCACUUAAUAACUGGCGAAAUACUAAACGUCCGCCCUGAGUACCUAAUAAAUCCUGCCUGAGCUUUUUAUUGAGGAGAAUUUAAUAAAAACAACCAUUGUG